CGGGCCGCCGCCGGCGGCUCUGCCGCGGGCCCGCGAUGGGCCCGGGCUGGGCCCGGGAUGGGCCCCGGGCGGGAGGCUGCUCCUCCCUCUCCGAUUCCUGGGGAUUCAAGACCUUGCUCAUGUGCCGAGAAACCAUCGCCAAGACCAGUGGCAGAGCGAGAGUUAAGAUUUUGGCUAUCACGGGUGGCCUAGGUUGUCAAGAGAGACUGGAAAUGAUGCAAGGCCACUAGUUCCUGUCAUACAGAGGAUGCUCAUGGAGCCCUACCAUCGCAGUUUGGUUCUGCUAAAGAAGAGACUGUCUCUAAUUCAGUUAGGGAGGCAGAAAUAAACCCUCUCUAUUACUGCAAGGACUAAGCUGGGAAAAAUAAAGAGAAGCAGCAGAAGAAAUAUUGUCACCAGAGAAUAUUCAAGCACUGGUUGCAAUCCUGUGCCAUAUGCUUUAGGAUGACCCUGCUUGAGCAGAGAGGUUGGACCCGAUGCUCCACUGUGGUCCCUUCCAGCUUGACCCACUCUGCAAAGAGGGUGCAAAGGGUGUAUGUGAGCAAUGUAAGAGGACCACAGAAACAAGAUUUGAGUAUGGAAAAACAUGGCACAUAAAACCAUCAUGGUGCACUGCAUGCAGGACUGGCUGAAGGGCAGAGCUCAAAAGGUUGUGAAGUGAAGGGGGCUCCAUCCAGCUGGUAACCAGUCCCCAGCAGUGCUCCUCAGGGAUCCAGGGCCAGUCCUGUUCCUGUACUUCCCAACGAUCUGGAUGCAGGAGUGCAGUGCACCAUUACUGAGUUUGCUGGUGAUACCAAACUGGGAGGUGCUUCUGGCUUUCGUGAGAAACAGAGGGCUCUACAUAGAUUGGAACACUGGGCUAUGAUUUAUAGCAUGAAAUUUAACAAGUAAAUGUCAGAUUGUGCACCUGGAACAAAGUAAUGCCAGACAUUACUGGGACAGGAGUGGCUGGAAAGCAGACCUGCAGAAAGGGAUCUGGGGUUCAUGGUGGGCAACAGCACAAUGCAAGUCAGAGUUGCAAACUCAAGAAUAAAGGGAUGUUGUAUUACACUUGUAUAUCUUCACAAGCAAAAGGACACGUAUUUGGGAUGUAGUUUUGGUAGUGAACAUAUAGAAGAACUAGUUACAAUAAAAAAAAAAAAUUGGACCAGAGUAUUGAUAGCAUUUCAGUAGAAUGGGGAAGAGGUUAAAAAAUGUCUUUCUGGUUUUGUUUGUUGGUUUGUUUGUUUUUCCACAGGGAAAACAUAAAGACAUUUAAGAGAAGUAGUGACUGGAGUUAAUAAAUUUGACAACCUCUGGGAUUACAUAUGAGGAUGUAUGAGAUUUUACAUCAGAGGUAGAAAAUUCCUACUGGAAUUUGCAUGCUAAACAAAGGGGAAACUAACAAGGACAUUCUCCAGAGUUACCUGGAUAAUUGACUGUUCAAGGAAGGAUGCUAGGUGUAAACACUCUGUGGGAACAGAUAAAGAGGUCAGUCAGUCAAUGCAGCUAUGUUUUGAAGGUCAAAAACUGUAGGAAUAUAGCACCAAAUGCCAAAAGUCAAGCUGAGUUAGACCUUGCAAAGGUCUGUGAAGAUGAAUGCGGAAAGGUUUGUUAACUGUAUAAAUAGAAACAAAAUUUAAAAAGGAGGAAGUGGGGCUGCUGUGUACAGAGUAGGAGGUUGAGAUCAAACACAGUAUUUGGAUUACACUUUGGAUCAUCAAGGGCCAGACCUAGGGGGGUACAUAGGCUUGUAAUGCCAGGAAGUUAAUUUAGCUCUGGGAACAAAAUGUACAACGCUAAGGAAGAUGUCUUAUUCUUUUGGCUAGUAAAUGAGAGAAAGUCACGUUGUGGGGGCUAAAAUCUACAACAACUGGUGUGGUAUCUGAGCUACUCAUGAGGAAAUACCAAAGCCACCUGACCAAAACCAUCUUGUCUGGUUCUAAGUUCACAGUAAAGCUCCAGCCUCCUUGGCUACACCUGUAUCAGCAAAUAAAGGAUGGUAAGGGCUCAGGAUGGUGUGUCAAUCCUCAAAUACCCAUGGUGUUAAACAGUUCCUGCUACAGGUACGGUCUAAGCAAGACAGCCCUCUCCCAGGAAAUGCCUGUGCACAGUUCAUGGGAUAGCGUCAGACUGUUCUUCCCAGUGAGAAGUUUGGAGGUGGUCACCCUGCUAUGGAGUUGUUUUGGAGAAGAAGAGGGUUUUGCUGAAUGGAUGUAAGCUGUGCUGUGCCCUCAAAGACAGAAAACAAGCCCACCUUCUUGAGUAAUACAAGUUUAGCUUCUGAUACUGGGAUGAUACAAAUGACACAGAUGUUGUUGGGACAUCUUGGAUGACCUCAGUCAUGUGCUGUUAGAGGUCAUUAACUUCUGGCGUUUUUUUGGUUAAACUGGUUAAACUGUUGCAUUACUCCAUUUACACAUCUUGUUACAUCUUCACAUUUGGCUUGAUAAAUUUGGCAGAAAAAGUUGAACUGCUUAGUCAAAGCAGCUCUGCCCUCCUCACUGCCCCACCUAUCAUGGUGUUGUGGUAGACAAGGCAGUAUUCAUCUCACACUUAGUUUCACACAUCCAGCCCACAUCUGUGCUUGGUAGUUAAACACAGGGCAUGUCCCUAAGCACUGUUCCAAAAACAGCUGUAUUGACUGCCUUUUUAAUAGUCUACUAAGCUUGUUGAAGACAGAAAAUGCUUAUGGACAAGAAUGGUUAAUGUCUGCACUAUUACAUCCUCUUACCUUCCAAAAUAGGGCGCUUGUAUGUAAACAGGGAAUGGCCACAGACUUGUGCUAAUGGCUCUUGUGUCUAAGGAUUAUUUGAGAUACUGUUGGUAUGGAUGGGUUCCACAGAUUAAAAUGAACUAGGACAGGUAGACCAGCUGAUUAAUUAAAGAGCAAGAAGGAUUAAGGUGCAAGAAAUUAUUUUUGAAUACAGAGUGUCAUUCUAGCAGAAAGAAAUUUCAGAACCAUUGUUUGGUCGGGCUCUUUGUCCUAUUAAUUGAUACUUGGUGUCUUGGGUACUUCAGCUUGGCAUAAAAGAGAGUAUUUCUUUCCCAGAACAAUUUUAGGAGCCAUUAUCUCAGAACACCUUAUUUAUGCCACCACAUCUAUUACAGAGGACCAGGGUUCUAUGGACGUGACAGGCAGAAGCAGAUGGCAGUGUGACAGGUAUAGUUGUUGAGCUCACAUGGAGCAGCUGAUGAAGAAACACAGCAGUAAAACAUUGUUUUUGUGAAUGCUUACCCUCAAAAAUGUCCUCCAGCCUCUCCAGAGGGUCAUUGUUAACAAGCAUGGUGCAAUUGUAAUUGACAUUAAACAAUUUCUUUCUUCCUUUA